rnacentral:lncRNA from 1 species
AAUUAUGGUUUUCUCUUAUGCUCAUGAGUGGCCACUUAGUGACAGGUUUUUUUCCCUCUCUCUCAGUACACAAAAGGCUGUUCCUGCCCCGACGUGGCUGAGAUGCAGAAGGACACAAUACCAGGGAUUUUGCCUCUUCCUGGGUUCAGGUAUGGACACUGCUGGAUCUGUUGGAAAAAGGGGGAAAAUACUGGCAGUGUCUUCAGCAGAUGGCAGCUGAUAAUGAAGUUAGGAAUUCUCAACACAGCCUUUUCCUCUCUGUCUGACAAAGUGAGAAUGCCUCUUUCUGCAGGAAGUGAGUGUGUGCCAGGGAUGCUUCUGCUUAGACAAUUACCAGGUCUGGGAAUGUAUUUUGCUCUUUCCUUCCCCCUGCCAUGGGAGUGAUCAAACAGCAAUUGCAGCUCUACACAUUUGUACUAAAUUGGCUGUGAACCUAAGCUCAAAUUUUGAACCCACUGCCCCAAAUGCCUCUUCC